CCUACGGGUGACAGCAGUGAGGAAUAUUGGUCAAUGGGCGCGAGCCUGAUCCAGCCAAGUAGCGUGAAGGAUGACUGCCCUAGGGUUGUUAAACUCCGUUUAUAAAGAAAUAAAGUGAGGCACGUAUGCGUUUUUGUUUGGACUGUAUGAAUCAGGAACGCCUAAGUACGUGCCAGCAGCCGCGGUACUACGGAGGAUGCGAGCGUUAUCCGGAUUUAUUGGGUUUAAAGGGAGCGUAGAUGGGUUGUUAAGUCAGAUGUGAAAGUUUGCGGCUCAACCGUAGAAUUGCAAUUGAUACUGGCAGUCUUGAGUGCAGUAGAGGUAGGCGGAAUUCGUGGUGUAGCGGUGAAAUGCUUAGAUAUCUGGAAGAACACCGAUGGCGAAGGCAGCUUACUGAGCUGCAACUGACAUUGAUGCUCGAAAGUGUGGGUAGCAAACAGGAUUAGAUACCCGAGUAGUC
rnacentral:rRNA from 1 species